UGAGGAAUAUUGGUCAAUGGACGAGAGUCUGAACCAGCCAAGUAGCGUGAAGGAUGACUGCCCUAUGGGUUGUAAACUUCUUUUAUACGGGAAUAAAGUUAGCCACGUGUGGCUUUUUGUAUGUACCGUAUGAAUAAGGAUCGGCUAACUCCGUGCCAGCAGCCGCGGUAAUACGGAGGAUCCGAGCGUUAUCCGGAUUUAUUGGGUUUAAAGGGAGCGUAGGCGGGUUGUUAAGUCAGUUGUGAAAGUUUGCGGCUCAACCGUAAAAUUGCAGUUGAUACUGGCGACCUUGAGUGCAACAGAGGUAGGCGGAAUUCGUGGUGUAGCGGUGAAAUGCUUAGAUAUCACGAAGAACUCCGAUUGCGAAGGCAGCUUACUGGAUUGUAACUGACGCUGAUGCUCGAAAGUGUGGGUAUCAAACAGGAUUAGAUACCCUGGUAGUCCACACAGUAAACGAUGAAUACUCGCUGUUGGCGACAUACGGUCAGCGGCCAAGCGAAAGCAUUAAGUAUUCCACCUGGGGAGUACGCCGGCAACGGUGAAACUCAAAGGAAUUGACGGGGGCCCGCACAAGCGGAGGAACAUGUGGUUUAAUUCGAUGAUACGCGAGGAACCUUACCCGGGCUUAAAUUGCAACUGACUGAAUCGGAAACGGUUCUUUCUUCGGACAGUUGUGAAGGUGCUGCAUGGUUGUCGUCAGCUCGUGCCGUGAGGUGUCGGCUUAAGUGCCAUAACGAGCGCAACCCUUACGGGUAGUUACCAUCAGGUUAUGCUGGGGACUCUACCCGGACUGCCGUCGUAAGAUGUGAGGAAGGUGGGGAUGACGUCAAAUCAGCACGGCCCUUACGUCCGGGGCUACACACGUGUUACAAUGGGGGGUACAGAAGGCAGCUACACAGCGAUGUGAUGCUAAUCCCAAAAGCCUCUCUCAGUUCGGAUUGGAGUCUGCAACCCGACUCCAUGAAGCUGGAUUCGCUAGUAAUCGCGCAUCAGCCACGGCGCGGUGAAUACGUUCCC
rnacentral:rRNA from 1 species